ACGGGAGGCAGCAGUGGGGAAUAUUGGGUAAUGGGGGAAACCCUGACCCAGCAACGCCGCGUGAAGGAAGAAGGUCUUCGGAUCGUAAACUUCUGUCCUUGGUGAAGAGAAGAAGACGGUAGCCAAGGAGGAAGCCCCGGCUAACUACGUGCCAGCAGCCGCUGUAAUACGUAGGGGGCAAGCGUUGUCCGGAAUGAUUGGGCGUAAAGGGCGCGUAGGCGGCCUGUUAAGUCUGAAGUGAAAGUCCUGGCUUCAAGUUGGGAAUUGCUUUGGAUACUGGCGGGCUUGAGUGCAGGAGAGGUAAGUGGAAUUCCUAGUGUAGCGGUGAAAUGCGUAGAUAUUAGGAGGAACACCAGUGGCGAAGGCGGCUUACUGGACUGUAACUGACGUUGAGGCUCGAAAGCGUGGGGAGCAAACAGGAUUAGAUACCCUGGUA
rnacentral:rRNA from 1 species